rnacentral:tRNA from 1 species
GAUAAAGUGGCUGAAUAUAGGCGAUAGAUUGUAAAUUUAUUUAUAAGCAUUAGCUUUUUUAUCA